rnacentral:lncRNA from 1 species
AAGUAUUAGCAUAGUAUUGAUUAGUCUUCAGUCUAAACCCACCCUACCAGGGACCCUUACUUAAUUCUUAAUUAGCAUAAAGUUGGAUCACUCUGAUUUUUCAUGUCACUUUUACACCAAUCAUAUGUUGUAUGCUAACAAGGGCAGAACGAGGAAUUUUUCAAUGGGUGAGCUUGCUAAAGUUAAUAACUUGAAAUCUAAUGAUAAUCCCUUUUUUUUUUUUUUGGUACUAACAAUUUCUAUCAUUUUUCUAAAAAUAAAAGUAUACAUUAAAUCAUAUAAAUCACGCUAGUUGUAAACACAAGGAAAAAAAUGAAAUUUUAUUCAGAAAAAUUAUUCUCUUUUUGAGAUACGUUAAUGGAAAAUGAUUAAAAUUGAUGUUUGGGACAAACUUUAAC